GUGCCAGCCGCCGCGGUAAAACGUAGGAGGCGAGCGUUAUCCGGAGUUACUGGGCGUAAAGCGCGUGCAGGCGGUAUGGUAAGUCUGUUAUGAAAGCUCCUGGCUAAACUGGGAGAGGUUGACGGAAACUGCCGUACUAGAGUGGAGAAGAGGUAAACGGAAUUCCGCGUGUAGUGGUGAAAUGCGUAGAUACGCGGAAGAACACCAGUGGCGAAGGCGGUUUACUGGUCUCCAACUGACGCUCAGACGCGAAAGCAUGGGUAGCGAACGGGAUUAGAUACCCCAGUAGUCC
rnacentral:rRNA from 1 species